UGAUACCGAUGGCCCAAAUUUGGGGCCCUGGCUCAUGGACUAUCGCCCGUGCACUGCAUUCCGGAAGAGCUGUAUGCUCACUACAUCUCAGUUCCAUCCGGUCUUAACCAUGAGGAGCUCUUCAGUUACCUCUCGGUUCAAGAGAGCUCCGCUGAUGUUCAGGACUCAGGUUUAAACGCCGCUAAUCAAACAUCGCAUGUCCCCUGCCGACCAUGUUCCUCAAAGAUCGAGGCGAUCUGAUCCUGGUCCCGAUACUGAAGAAUCAUUAUGUCUAUUGGAUGUGGAAUCUGCUCUGAGUGUCAUCAAUUAAUUCCCUGGAAAUCAACGCGUUUUCGUCGGCCCGUAAAAUAAACAACCAGGGCCAUCUUCUGCUACCUGUGAGACCGCUCAACCUGUCCGCUGCCUGCUGACGUCACACCCCACAGGAUUCUGGGAACUGCAGUCCCAGCUCCAACAAUGGGCUCUCGGUCCCUGAACCCCUGCAGUAGCAAUUCCUGAUUCCUUCAGGAGUCAAAUUCUAGCAGAUCCUGGUUCUGCUUAAGCUGUGUGAUCUCUGCUGAGCUGUGGCCCAACACGAACACUAUUCCUUCACUACCUAAGAUUGGCGCAGCUACAACCGCAGCUCUCCAUCUGCCCACAUCAACCAAUCUACCAAGGCUAUGUCAGGCUCCACAAGACGGAAUUUUGACCGUGCAAAAACUGAUGAGCUCCUGCUCCCCCUUAAUACAUUUAAAUAUUUGUAUCUGCUGCCUAAUCAUAUAUUUGCACAUCAGGUGGUUGCUGGGUUUAGAGUAUUUAUAUAUUUGCUAUAUGGGAAAUGUUCCUGCAUAAGGUUUGUUAAGUAUACACACAUAGCAGUUCACUAGAUAGUGUAUUCCACUGGGGCCAAGGUGCUUCCAGGGAAUAGCCACACGGCGGCUGGUGCCAAGGUCAACACAUAGAAGAUUGUUUCACUGAUAGCGUCAGGGUCCAUUCCGUGCUGUUUUGGGGGUUAAGGUAUUUGCGCAUCACUCCCCAAUAUCCCUAUGUAAGCAUAUCUGCGGAGAGUGAUUAGGUCGGAGCCUAGACGCCAAAUUCUAGAUAUGCUAUACUGCUUUUGUAAACAUUUCAAACGUGAGUUGUCUGACUGAAAUGGAGCGAAGUCUGCGAGCUAGUUCAUGCAGUCAACUCUAGCUGCGCCGCUAUACACACAUGACAUAAGCACUAACCAAGCACACCCUUUCAAUCUCGCAGUCUAUUUAAGCUGCAGAAUUUCCCAGCUCUCCCUCUGCUUUGUCAAUGCCGCUGUUGCCUUGCAUCACAUAGCUGCUGCUCUGUAAGCUAUUGCUGCCUGCUGCACUGUAAGCCCCACUACCACCCCAGCUUCCACCUGUAGGCUCCGGCUAGGGGUUAAGGUAUUUACGCAUCACUCCCCAAAGGAGGGCUCCCAAGGUGUGGUCUGUUUUGUUAGAGUCACAACUAAAUAAGCAAAUAAUAACAUUUUGUUAAAAUGUUAGAAACAGACGAAAAAUGUGGCUUUAAAUAAUCAGCAAAGUAAAGACAGGAUGUAACACUCUAGUAUCUCUGGCUGUAAGACAGCCGGAUCCAGUGUCACGAAGAAGGAAAAACACUCUGGACAGGCUGUUUGGAUAUAUGAGCUGGUGGUUUCCUCAAAAAACAGGAGAAACCAGACAUUCCCCCUAAAGGAGCCGUAAGUCCUCCUCAAGUCCGCAGGUGUUGUGUGUUUGAUUUGAAGUCCUCCAGCUCAGUCACUUGUUCAAAAAGGCCGGAGCCUAGACGCCAAAAUCUAAAUAUACUAUACUGCUUUAAUAAACAUUUCAAACGUAAGUUGUCUGACUGAAAUACAAUUACGAAAAAAUAUUUUCAUAAUUUUAUUACAUGAAAAAUGUGUAACUGUAAAUAAUGAUAAAAUUACUGCUGAUUUAAAAAAGA